GGUAGUGCUGAAGGCUUGUUUCUUAGGCUACUCCCUGGACCUCAGGGCGAGAGUGCUGCAUGCACGUGUGUGUAGACAUCCCUCCGUAUCUCACUGGUAAAAUCCGUCAGGACGUGGCUCUCGCUGAGCCGCAUGGUAGCCCGUCAGCUCCACUAGUUACACAGGCAGUGCCUGUCAUAGCGCACCAACCACAUAGGGCUCACUCUCAGCGCGGC
rnacentral:sRNA from 1 species